CACACCGCCCGUCACACCACGAAAGCUAUUUAUACCAGAAGUCGGUGCGCUAACCGCAAGGAGGCAGCCGCCCAAGGUAUGGACAGUGAUUGGGGUG
rnacentral:rRNA from 1 species